AGAGUUUGAUCCUGGCUCAGAACGAACGCUGGCGGCAGGCUUAACACAUGCAAGUCGAACGGGUGGAGCAAUCCAUCAGUGGCAGACGGGUGCGUAACACGUGGGAACAUACCUUUUGGUUCGGAAUAACUUGGGGAAACUUAAGCUAAUACCGGAUAAGCCUUAGGGGGAAAGAUUUAUUGCCGAAAGAUUGGCCCGCG
rnacentral:rRNA from 1 species